rnacentral:rRNA from 1 species
GACGAACGCUGGCGGCGUGCUUAACACAUGCAAGUCGAACGGAAAGGCCCUGCUUUUGUGGGGUGCUCGAGUGGCGAACGGGUGAGUAACACGUGAGUAACCUGCCCUUGACUUUGGGAUAACUUCAGGAAACUGGGGCUAAUACCGGAUAGGAGCUCCUGCUGCAUGGUGGGGGUUGGAAAGUUUCGGCGGUUGGGGAUGGACUCGCGGCUUAUCAGCUUGUUGGUGGGGUAGUGGCUUACCAAGGCUUUGACGGGUAGCCGGCCUGAGAGGGUGACCGGGGACAUGGGGACUGAGAGAGGGCCCAGACUCCUACGGGAGGCAGCAGUGGGGAACCUGGCACAAUGGGCGGAAGCCUGAUGCAGCAACCCUGCGUGCGGGAUGACGGCUUUCGGGUUGUAAACCGCUUUCGCCUGUGACGAAGCGUGAGUGACGGUAAUGGGUAAAGAAGCACCGGCUAACUACGUG